UUGGCUCGGCACGGCCGCAGCCCAUCCUCCCAGAGCCAACCAGCGAAGGACGGAACUCCGCCCCCCGCUUCCCCUGCCUCCCACCCCCCACCCCUCGGCUCUAGCCGGGCUUGGGUGCGGGGAGAGCCGUCAGCGCUGAUUCUGGGGCGGCGAGGCUCUGCCGGCGGCGCCUGGCUAGUGAGGGCAACUGGCCUCAGGAACGGCGAGAAAGGGUAAUGAGGGCCUUGGUUUCCACAGUUUAUGACAAAGAAGAUUGAAAUAGGAUAAUCUCUAAAGGCCCUUCCAGCUCCAAAAUUACGUUAUCUAAGGAGGACAAGCCUGAUGCUGUGGUUCAGAGGGAAAUCUGAGGCCCCCUGCAGGCCUGCUGUGUGUAUGCAGGAGAUUGGAAGAGGCACCAGGACCGGGACCAGGAGGCUGGAACCAGCCAGCCGGCCAACAAAAAAAUGCGACUUAAUAAGCUUCAUCAGACCUCCUCCCAGCCAGAAGAGCCAAGCAUUGUCCCAUCAGCGUUGGUUCUACUUCAAAAACAUAUAUUUGCUCUGAACAUUUCUGUCUCUGCUGCCACCACGUUGGAGCCACCAGUAUCUCUGGCCCAGACUCCAAAAUGUAAACCACGGAGCAUCAGGGACCUAGUCUGUCUUGCUUCCUGUUGGAUCCCCAGUGCCAAGAACAGUGUCUAGCACUUGACCAAUAUUUGUUGAAUAAAUAACUGAACAAAUGAAUGCCUACGCCUCACACCCUUGUCCCAGCAGCCUCUUACUCUUGGGACAUUGCUCUCUUUUCUAUCCCCCUCCCCUCCUGCUCUGCUCUUCCCUCUACUCCUCACAUCUCAAAGCCUUCUGUUUGAUGCCUCAGUCCAAUGAUCAGAUCAAAUGUCACUUCUUUGGAGGAGUUUUCCCUAAUCUCCCCAGAAAAAUUACUUUUCCCCUCUUCAGUGCCCUCCAUAGCACUUUAUUUGUAGCUCUGUUACUUCGCUCAACACUGCCUGCCUAUUAAGAGUUACUAGUUACCCAUCCUCUCUGCCCAUCCCUCCGGGGCUGGAACCUUAUCAGAUGCCUUUGUAUUUUCAGCACCUGACAUAGGGUAGGCCUCCCUCAAGGUUUAUAUCUGAGUUGAAUCCAGUAGGGACCCAAGCAGGAAUGGAUAGGGUCUGUCCUCAAGAGUAAAACUGAUCAACAGGCAGCAGUCUAACUUGGUAGCACGACAACAUUAAACCUGAAACUUCAGGAUAUUCUAUAAUAAAAAGGACAGGCUACAUUUUAAAAUCACAGUACAUGGGAAACUUGCUGACAGCUAAAGGUUAUAGGCUCUCACACUACCAUGCCACCUGGGAAAACAUUCCCCUCUGUCUGUGUGGGCAGGGGGAGUUGCUCCUCCCAGGCCUCACCUCUUUCUCCCUGCUCCCCAACAAGUCAAGUCCCAUGACAUUACAUCACAGAGGAGGCCCUGGUGCCAUCUUCCUGCAGACAGAUCAUGGUAACAGUGCUUUGUGUCUUACGUACAAUAAAUGCUUUCUCUGAUCCUUGUCCAAGUCCCUCAUUUUCAGUCAUGAAAGUGGCUGAUUAUGUACUAGUUUAGACUGUAAAUGGAAAAUGCUGUGCCACUGCCUCCUGAACACAAAAGAGCUGCUAUUAUUUAUUGAGCACAUGUUGUGUACAGAUAAGUUUCUAUUCUACCCAGUUAUAUUUAAUCCUCAAAGCAACCUGCGAGACAGGUAUUUUUCCCCAUUUUUUAAAGAGCUGUUCGUAUGGCAUUUGAACCCUGAUCUAUCUGGUUUCAAAGCCCAGUCAUUCUCUUCUAUACCAUCAAAGAGUAAAAGUGCUUCUCUCUUGUCUUACAAAUCUCCCAAUCACCUUUACAAGGAAACUCAUCGACACAUCAAACUGCCCCACAGAGUAAAACCAUAUGCUAAGGUAAAGGGCCCAGAAACAAGAGUUGUAAGGGCUUAGCGCUUCUAUCUUAAGAACAACAAUAAUGAUAAUAUUUAUUAAGUGCCUCCUACGUUAUAGGAGCUGGUGUAGACACUUUACAUGCAUUGUUAAAUUUAACCCAAUCUUCACAACAACCUUAUGAAGAAGAUACCACAGGUCUGCAUACCUUAACCACAGUUCCAAAAUCCAAACAGCUCUGCAAAUCAAAAGUAAGUUUGAUUUGACACAGCUCACAUGGAACAGUAAGAGGGCAAUAGUGUUCAAUAACUAAAAUCUGGAGGGUAGAAAAUAUUUGAGAGGAUACAAGCAAUUAUAUCUUCCUUCCUUUGUUCUCACAAGCUACUAAUAGUGCCCUCAUUGAAUAUCUUUUCAUUUCUAGUCUUUCCCAGGUGGGUUAGUCUUCUCAAUAUUUCUCUAAUCAACAGAUUAUAUCUCACAGUCAGUUGUAAUGCCAUUGGGGAUAUCUCUCUUCUGCACAAUUUUAGCUUUCAAUAAACGGAUGUAAUAAAACAUAAAAGAUUUUCCUAUGUGCCAUUUAAAGGAAAACAAACAUUUGACACAGCUCAUUUGAUGGCAAACUUCAACUGACCUGAGGUCAUUUAUA